rnacentral:rRNA from 1 species
CAUAGCCGCGGUAAAACGAGGGGUGCAAGCGUUAUUCGGAUUGAUUGGGUGUAAAGGGUGUGCAGACGGCUUAUUAAGUCACUUGUUAAAUUCUUCGGCCUAACUGAAGGUCUGCAAGUGAUACUGAUGAGCUAGAGGGUGGAAGAGAGAAGUGGAAUUCUCGGAGUAGCGGUAAAAUGCGUAGAUCUCGAGAGGAACACCAAUGGCGAAGGCAGCUUCUUGGUCCAUUCCUGACGUUCAUACACGAAAGCGUGGGGAGCGAACAGGAUUAGAUACCCCCGUAGUCCCUGUCUCUUAUACC